UUAAGCUAUAAAGAGCACAAGGUGAAUGCCUUGGCACUGGGAGCCGAAGAAGGACGCGAUUAACUGCGAAAAGCCACGGUAAGACGUAAAUAGUCGCUUGCAGCCGUGGAUAUCCGAAUGGGGCAACCCGGCAGAGCAAUACUCUGUCAGCGCACGGUGAAUAAAAUAGUCGUGCGUGGGGAACCGCCUGAACUGAAACAUCUAAGUAGGGCGAGGAAAAGACAUCAACCGAGAUUCCGCGAGUAGUGGCGAGCGAAAGCGGAAGAGGCCAAACCGAAGGUAGCAAUAUCUUCGGGGUUACGGACAGCUUUAAUGAGAAGCGAUUCUUAAAAGAACGGCAUGGGAAGGCCGGCCACAGAGUGUGAGAGCCACGUAUUUGAAAAGGAUCGUAAUCUGGCUGUAUCCAGAGUACCGCGGGACACGAGGAAUCCCGUGGGAAGUCGGGGGGACCACCCUCCAAGCCUAAAUACUACCUGAUGACCGAUAGUGGAGCAGUACCGUGAGGGAAAGGUGAAAAGAACCCCGGGAGGGGAGUGAAAUAGUACCUGAAACCUUGUGCUUACAAGCAGACAUAGCCCGUUAAAGGGUGGUGUCGUACUUUUUGUAGAACGGUCCGGCGAGUUAUAGUAACUGGCGAGCUUAAGGUAUUGAGUACCGGAGGCGAAGCGAAAGCGAGUGUUAAGAGCGCGUAUAGAGUCAGUUGCCAUAGACCCGAAACCAGGUGACCUAGCCAUGUCCAGGAUGAAGUGGAGGUAAAGCUCCAUGGAGGUCCGAACCCACGUUCGUUGCAAUGACCGGGGAUGAGGUGUGGCUAGCGGUGAAAUUCCAAACGAACUUGGAGAUAGCUGGUUCUCCCCGAAAUAGCUUUAGGGCUAGCGUAGGUAAUGAGUUUCACGGAGGUAAAGCACUGUCUGAGCUAGGGGGCGAUAAGCUUACUGAACUCUAACAAACUAAGAAUGCCGUAGAAAUGCUUACCUGCAGUCAGACUGCGAGUAAUAAAAUCCGUGGUCAAAAGGGAAACAGCCCAGACCCACAGCUAAGGUCCCAAAUAUACGCUAAGUGGAAAACGAUGUGAGAUUGCAUAAACAACCAGGAUGUUGGCUUAGAGGCAGCCACUCGUUCAAAGAGUGCGUAAUAGCUCACUGGUCGAGUGAUCUUGCGCGGAAAAUUUAACGGGGCUAAGCAUGUAACCGAAGCUUAGGGUUUACAGCAAUGUAAGCGGUAGGGGAGCGUCGAAUACGGGGCGAAGUCAUACCGAAAGGAAUGGUGGACUGUAUUCGAGUGAGAAUGCCGGAAUGAGUAGCGAGAAUUAUGUGGGAAUCAUAAUGGCCGAAAAUCUAAGGUUUCUUGGGGAAGGUUCGUCCGCCCAAGGUAAGCCGGGAGCUAAGGCGAGGCCGAAAGGCGUAGUCGAUGCACAUACGGUAGAAAUUCCGUAACCACCGAACUUUAAGUCAGAGGGACACUUUUGGAUAGCGGAACCCGGGCGUUGGUUGACCCGGGCGUAAGGGAGCGAAAUUAGAGUAGCGAAGUCCGCGAUGUUCGGAGGCGAGAAAAGCUCUGAGGUAUGCUAAGGUGCCCGUACCGCAAACCGACACAGGUAGAUGAGGAGAGAAUCCUAAGGCCAACGGGAGAAGGGUUGUUAAGGAACUCGGCAAAUUGACCCCGUAACUUCGGGAGAAGGGGUGCUCCAGAGAUGGAGCCGCAGAGAAUCGGCCCAAGCAACUGUUUACCAAAAACACAGGUUUGUGCUAAAUCGAAAGAUGACGUAUACGAGCUGACGCCUGCCCGGUGCUGGAAGGUUAAGAGGAGAUGUGCAAGCAUUGAAUCGAAGCCCCAGUGAACGGCGGCCGUAACUAUAACGGUCCUAAGGUAGCGAAAUUCCUUGUCAGGUAAG
rnacentral:rRNA from 1 species